UACAGAGACUGCAAGCGUUAUUCGGAUUCACUGGGCGUAAAGGGUGCGCAGGCGGCCGGGUGUGUCAGAUGUGAAAUCCCGAGGCUUAACCUCGGAACUGCGUCUGAAACUACUCGGCUAGAGUACUGGAGAGGGUAACGGAAUUCACGGUGUAGCAGUGAAAUGCGUAGAUAUCGUGAGGAACACCAGAGGCGAAGGCGGCUGCCUGGCACAUAACUGACGCUGAUACGCGAAAGCGUGGGGAGCGAACCGG
rnacentral:rRNA from 1 species